CGAAACCUGGCUGCGUCGGUCCGUCCGUAGCCUGUACACACAUACGUAGAAAAUACGCUACAGUAUACGUAGCGAGCACGCUACCGUAUUCGACGUAUAAUACCUAGCGUCGACGCCCUAAUUCGGCAAAUCCACAGCUUUUUCGUCGCAAUCACGCGCGAACAAGAAUCUCCAGCUCCAAUCGCCCCGCCGCCAUGGCGCACCACCGCCGCCGCAGCUGCCUGCGCCGUGUUGCCACCAUCGCGGGCGGCGUGUCAGCCGGCCUCCUCCUCCUCGCCGGCGGCCAUACCUACGCCCACGGUCAGCUCUUCUCACCGGGCUUGCUGCCCCUUGGCCUCGGCGGCGGCGCCGACUGCUUGCCGUCCUUCGCCCCGCCGUCCUUCGCCCCGCCGCCCUUCGCCCUCUCGCCGCUGCCGCCCUACCUCCUGUCGGAGGCCGAGGCCGAGGCCGAGGCCCCGCAGCCGGAAGCCAACCUCCCGCGCCGCCUUCUGCCCGGACAUCGCUCGCCGCCGCCGCCGCCCUGCCUCCCCUCAAACUUGAACUUG
rnacentral:lncRNA from 1 species